rnacentral:tRNA from 1 species
CUUCGUAGCUCAGGGGAUAGAGCACCGCUCUCCUAAAGCGGGUGUCGCAGGUUCGAAUCCUGCCGGGGGCACA